UUGAAAGGGAAACGAUUGAAGUCAGUCGUGCUGGCGCGUAAUCAGCCUACGAUUUGUCAAACAAGUAGUGUGGUGAGCCUCAAAACCGCUACAUUAUUUGUUUGGCUUAAUCGUCGGUGCACUUUCGUGUUGGCUGGUUAACAUCAAUUUCAAAUGUCAUAAAAAGGCUGGAGGGAUGUGGCUCCUUCGGGAGUGUUAUAACCUUUAGCGGAACGUGGUUGUUUGGGAUUGAGGAUUGCAACGAAUACCUUUAGGGCUGUUCCACCUGGUCUCUCUUUGGCAUCUUGGCGGCGACAGCUUGCUGACGUUGUUAAGAUUUGACAUUGAACAGGCUAGAGUGUGGGCAAAUUCGUUAAGGAUGUUGACGUA
rnacentral:rRNA from 1 species